GAAGAAAGUUAAUGAAUCCGCUGGAACAAGUGACAAAAACUUCAGUUUUGCGAACAGUUCGGAGGAUACUAUUGAUCUGUAUUCGUGGAAAUACCCUCCUGUUAACAGUCCGGUUACUUAUCAGCAUGAUGGUGGAGCUACCAUUGACCUCUCCAGUUUGGUGCACUCUGGGAAGUCUAAGUUCAAUUCUUCUGAAGUCUUUGAUAGUGGUAAGGCUCAUGCAAAAUGUGAGGAAGAUGUCAGUUUUUCAGGUGAAAAGAGAACUUCUUGGCCCGGAAGUACUAGCAAAGACACUGUAGAGCCAAAGCACGACAUUGGUCGAAAUGUUGAUCUCAAGGAGGUUGAUCAGCAAAUUAAGCUAAGUGGGACAUGCUCCAAAGAUGUAAUAAUUAAUCAUCCUUGGUCUAAAAGUGAUGAAUUUACACACCUUUCUUCUGAGUCUUGGAGAGACUGCACAGUUAAAACUGUUUUCCCGUUUCCCAAAGGAGAUGUCUCGACAAGUUAUGAUCAUGACAUUGGUAGUACUGACAGGAAAGAAGGAAAACGAAAAACAGAGGUGAGUGAUGUUAGGGCAGCAAU
rnacentral:misc_RNA from 1 species